AGUGGAAGGAUUGCUUGAGCCCAGGAGUUUGAGGCCAGCCUGGGCAACACAGCCAGCCCCCAUAUAAAAACAAACAAACAAACAAAAGUAUCCCAUAAUAACCAAAACAUAUAUUUUUAUAGCUCUUUUAAAAUAGAAGGUGAAAUAAGUUUACCGUAACUUCCUAGAAUUUCAUUUAAUAAUUAAAUGAGAUCACGCCUGUAAUCCCGGCACUUUGGGAGGCCAAGGCGGGCGGAUCAUGAGGUCGGGAGAUUGAGACCAACCUGGCUAACGCAGUGAAACCCCAUCUGUACUAAAAAUACAAAAAAAUUAGCAGAGCGUAGUAGCGGGCGCCUGUAGUCCCAGCUACUGGGCAGGCUGAGGCAGGAGAAUGGCCUGAACCCAGGAGGCAGAGCUUGCAGUGAGCUGAGAUCGCGCCACUGCACUCCAGCCUGGGCAACACAGUGAGACUCCGUCUCCAAAAAAAAAAAAAAAAAAAAAAAAAAAAAAAGGGAGUUUCGUUCUUGUUGCCCGGCCUGGAGUGCAAUGGCGUGAUCUCAGCUCACUGCAACCUCCGCCUCCUGGGUUCAAGUGAUUCUCCUGCCUCAGCCUCCCGAGUAGCUGGGAUUACAGGAACACACCACCAUGCCCAGCUAAUUUUGUAUUUUUAGUAGAGAGGGGGUUUCUGCAAUGUUGGUCAGACUGGCCUCGAACUCCUGACCUCAGGUGAUCCACUCGCCUCGGCCUCCCAAAGUGCUGGGAUUACAGGAGCCACGGCACCCAGCCGAACUCUACUUUUCAACCCGAGAAUUACUGUUCAAUCAGUUUAGAUUACAGAUUGUUCUUUUGCAGACCAAUUUUGCCAUUUCUUCUCUUCAAAUAGGACAUCGUAAAAACCUCAUGUUAAUAAUAUGUAUAUGUAUAAUAAUAUGCAUAAUGAUAUGCAUAUACGUAUAUUACAUAUAAUACACAUACAUGCAUAUACGUAUAUUACAUAUAAUACACAUACAUGCAUAUACAUAUAUUACAUAUAAUACACAUACAUGCAUAUACGUAUAUUACAUAUAAUACACAUACAUGCAUAUACGUAUAUUA
rnacentral:lncRNA from 10 species